rnacentral:rRNA from 1 species
UACGAAGGGGGCUAGCGUUGCUCGGAAUCACUGGGCGUAAAGGGUGCGUAGGCGGGUCUUUAAGUCAGGGGUGAAAGCCCGGAGCUCAACUCCGGAACUGCCAUUGAAACUGUUUAGCUUGAGGAUGAGAGAGGUGAGUGGAAUUCCCAGUGUAGAGGUGAAAUUCGUAGAUAUUGGGAAGAACACCGGUGGCGAAGGCGGCUCACUGGCUCAGUUACUGACGCUCAGGCGCGAUAGCGUGGGGAUCAAACAGG